rnacentral:lncRNA from 1 species
UCAGAUUCAGAUAUUUGAGCAAGGAUUUUUUUUUCUUUUCACAUCCAUAGCUCUAGAUCUUGUGGCCUUGCGCUUCCAGCUCAAGGAAUUUUUUUUCCAGCCGGAGUCAUCUACCUCCGUUAUCUACUCCCUGUUCCAGAUUUGUCAAUACGCAAUGGCGGAGCCACCACUUCCCCAAAACGCGACCAUGGCUAGAUCUGAGAAGCAGAAGAUUGUUAAAAUCAAACAUCUACAUGCCGUAAAGGUUGAUGAUGCCAAUUUAUACACCUGGGAAACAUAGUUCAAAACAAUGCUCCGAGGUCACUGCCUUCUCAAAUAUGUUGAGGAGCCUAUAGAUCCGUUCGAUAGUCUAGCAGUCCAGCAAGACCAACUACUGCUGGGAUGGAUUUUUUCUUCAUUAUCGC